rnacentral:rRNA from 1 species
UACGUAGGGGGCGAGCGUUGUCCGGAAUCAUUGGGCGUAAAGCGCGUGUAGGCGGCCCGGAAAGUCUGGUGUGAAAUCUUGAGGCUCAACCUUAAGCUGUCACUGGAUACUGUCGGGCUUGAGUCCGGAAGAGGAGAGUGGAAUUCCUGGUGUAGCGGUGGAAUGCGCAGAUAUCAGGAGGAACACCUAUGGCGAAGGCAGCUCUCUGGUACGUGACUGACGCUGAGACGCGAAAGCGUGGGGAGCAAACAGG